rnacentral:rRNA from 1 species
GACGAACGCUGGCGGCAGGCUUAACACAUGCAAGUCGAGCGCCCCCGCAAGGGGGAGCGGCGGACGGGUGAGUAACGCGUGGGAAUCUGCCCUUUGGUGUGGGACAACCACGGGAAACUGUGGCUAAUACCGCAUGAGCCCGAGAGGGGAAAGCCGCAAGGCGCCGAGGGAUGAGCCCGCGUCGGAUUAGCUAGUUGGUAGGGUGACGGCCUACCAAGGCGAUGAUCCGUAGCUGGUCGAGAGGAUGAUCAGCCACACUGGGACUGAGACACGGCCCAGACUCCUACGGGAGGCAGCAGGUGGGAAUCUUGGACAAGUGGGCGCAAGCCUGA